UACGAAGGGGGCUAGCGUUGCUCGGAAUCACUGGGCGUAAAGCGCACGUAGGCGGAUCUUUAAGUCAGGGGUGAAAUCCUGGAGCUCAACUCCAGAACUGCCUUUGAUACUGGGGAUCUCGAGUCCGGGAGAGGUGAGUGGAACUGCGAGUGUAGAGGUGAAAUUCGUAGAUAUUCGCAAGAACACCAGUGGCGAAGGCGGCUCACUGG
rnacentral:rRNA from 1 species